UGAAGGUUUUCGGAUCGUAAAGCUCUGUUGUUAGGGAAGAACAAGUGCAAGAGUAACUGCUUGCACCUUGACGGUACCUAACCAGAAAGCCACGGCUAACUACGUGCCAGCAGCCGCGGUAAUACGUAGGUGGCAAGCGUUGUCCGGAAUUAUUGGGCGUAAAGGGCUCGCAGGCGGUUUCUUAAGUCUGAUGUGAAAGCCCCCGGCUCAACCGGGGAGGGUCAUUGGAAACUGGGAAACUUGAGUGCAGAAGAGGAGAGUGGAAUUCCACGUGUAGCGGUGAAAUGCGUAGAGAUGUGGAGGAACACCAGUGGCGAAGGCGACUCUCUGGUCUGUAACUGACGCUGAGGAGCGAAAGCGUGGGGAGCGAACAGGAUUAGAUACCCUGGUAGUCCACGCCGUAAACGAUGAGUGCUAAGUGUUAGGGGGUUUCCGCCCCUUAGUGCUGCAGCUAACGCAUUAAGCACUCCGCCUGGGGAGUACGGUCGCAAGACUGAAACUCAAAGGAAUUGACGGGGGCCCGCACAAGCGGUGGAGCAUGUGGUUUAAUUCGAAGCAACGCGAAGAACCUUACCAGGUCUUGACAUCCUCUGACAACCCUAGAGAUAGGGCUUUCCCUUCGGGGACAGAGUGACAGGUGGUGCAUGGUUGUCGUCAGCUCGUGUCGUGAGAUGUUGGGUUAAGUCCCGCAACGAGCGCAACCCUUGAUCUUAGUUGCCAGCAUUCAGUUGGGCACUCUAAGGUGACUGCCGGUGACAAACCGGAGGAAGGUGGGGAUGACGUCAAAUCAUCAUGCCCCUUAUGACCUGGGCUACACACGUGCUACAAUGGACAGAACAAAGGGCUGCGAGACCGCAAGGUUUAGCCAAUCCCACAAAUCUGUUCUCAGUUCGGAUCGCAGUCUGCAACUCGACUGCGUGAAGCUGGAAUCGCUAGUAAUCGCGGAUCAGCAUGCCGCGGUGA
rnacentral:rRNA from 1 species